rnacentral:rRNA from 1 species
AAUAGAUACCCGGGUAGUCCACGCCGUAAACGAUGGAUGCUAGCUAUUGGGGGGAAUCGACCCCCUCCGAAGCGAAGCUAACGCGUUAAGCAUCCCGCCUGAGUAGUACGAGCGCAAGCUUAAAACUCAAAGGAAUUGACGGGGACCCGCACAAGCGGUGGAGCGUGUGGUUUAAUUCGAUGGUAAACGAAGAACCUUACCAAGGUUUGACAUCCCGGUAGCCGUUCUCCGAAAGGAGAAUUUCAUUUAGUUGGACCGGUGACAGGUGAUGCAUGGCCGUCGUCAGCUCGUGUCGUGAGAUGUUGGGUUAAGUCCCGCAACGAGCGCAACCCUUAUGAUUUAGUUGGAUUUUUCUAAACAGACUGCCCUGGUAACAGGGAGGAAAGAGGGGAUGAUGUCAGGUCAGUAUUUCCCUUACACCUUGGGCGACACACGCGCUACAAUGGCCGGUACAAUGGGCAGCUAAGCCGCGAGGUGGAGCAAAUCCCAUCAAAGCCGGUCCCAGUUCGGAUUGCAGGCUGAAACCCGCCUGCAUGAAGCCGGAAUCGCUAGUAACC